UACGGAGGGUGCAAGCGUUGUCCGGAUUUAUUGGGUUUAAAGGGAAGCGUAGGUGGCCCUAUAAGUCAGUGGUGAAAUCUCGCAGCUUAACUGCGAAAAUUGCCAUUGAUACUGUAGGGCUUAGUAUAGCUGCCGUUGGCGGAAUAUGACAUGUAGUGGUGAAAUACAUAGAGAUGUCAUAGAACACCGAUUGCGAAGGCAGCUAACGAAACUAUAACUGACACUGAGCUCGAAAGUGCGGGGAUACAAACGG
rnacentral:rRNA from 1 species